AGAGGCAGCUGGACAGCCAUGUGUGGGGAUGCUUUUAUUAAGGGAUGUACUGAAAAGGCAUGAAACAUCUCCUUCUGUCCUCUGCGUUAGAAUCAACAAGAUCAAGUCGUACCUCAGAAAAAGGCCUGCAAUGAGCUUCCCGGAAUCCGCAGCGGCAAUGGGUGACCCAGACUCAGCCGCUGAGCAGUGAAGGGACAGCGGAGACUUACGAUCAUGUGACUGCGCUCAGCUGACAACAACAGUGGCAGUAGUAUGAAGCUAGGGAUCGCGCGAAGGCUCUAUUCGGAAACGGGAAGUGUUGGCAGAGUGUGCUCGGCUAACGUUCCAGGGUGCUGUAGAUACAACUACUUUUCAACGUCAUGGUUAAACCUUGGGACAAAGGGAGCUUUUUUUCUUUAAUUGUUUUCCCCGAUUAAUAACUGUAUUGGAGGUUUAACGGAACAGUUUUAAGAGACAAUUUACAAGCAGUUAUGAUAAAAAGCAGUUAUAGUAGUUAUUACAUAGACUGGUUAAUAUCAAGAUUUGUAAUGCCAAGGACCUCCAAUAUACUCGCCUUCCCUGCGCAGAUAAAUAUAACAUGAAUGUGCUACAUAGAUCAAUUAAAAACACAUCACAAAUGAUCCCUGUAUUAAAUAUAAAGUAUAUCGAAACAGGUUAAUCAAAUAAAUAAAAACAGCAAUAAAUGAUAAGCUGAUUAAGGCGUUUAAUACACAGACAAGAAGACCACUGACUGUGCAGAGUGUAAUUCUCUAAUGCAUAAGUAGUGCCGGUCUCCGGCAUAAAAAUAUAAAUGAAGCAGAAGUCUACAGUAAUGUCAAUGUAGCCCUGAGUGCUGGCCCUUUUAGAGAUUAGCCACCAGAGCUUGAUUCAUCAGUCCAGUUGCUGGUUUACCUUGAAAGCACAAACAAUAAAAAUUUACCAUUUAGAAGCUUCAGUUUUCCUAACAAACGUUUGUUAAGUUUUGAACAAUCCUUGCUGUUGAAACCCAGAUCUCUCACUUUGCUGUGGUGACAGAACAGCAAAGAAGAGAUGAUCUUCCUUACUAGGGGUAAGGGAUGGGAUAUAUAUUUCUUUAUUUCACUAAUAAUGUGUAGAUCAACUUAAAUCUAAGUGAGAUAAAUAGAAAAAGAUAAACAGCACUUUGUACACGGAAAAGUGCUGCAGAAAUUAUUUUUAUACAUUCAGAGGUAAUGUACAUUGUUGGACUAACCAAACAAUAGCAAAUAUUAUGUGAUAGUUAAAGGAAAAGAACACUGUAUUGAAGAUAAAGAGUCCCAGAAGUAAUAUCACAAAGGCCCUCCUUUUCCCCUUUCGUUUCCUCUCUCAUACAAAUGAGAGAUCACUCUUAUACUUCUAAAAAUUGCAGCCUUGGUGUUCUACUAUUUGACCUUUUAAAAUCCUUUACCCUAAAUUAGCUUUUAUUGCAUUUCUACUACAGUAUUAGCUCCUGUAAAAGAAACAGAAUGGGUGAUCUCUGAAAGUAAAGAAUAUGCAAAAGGUCAGGAUAACAUGAUAUACUUAUAUAAUUCACACAGUAUACUUGACAUUAAAAAAGGGAACAAAAAAUGGCAAAGCUGAAAUCCAUGUGUACACCAGACAGAACUUAAGGGCAGCACAAAAUCAACUUAAUUCUUUCUUAAUUAAAACCUAUCAUAUCAGCUUGUGCAGAAAGCAUUAAGAAGAAUUAUUGGGAUGGCAAGAUUUUAAGAAUCUAAACGUGGUGAAUCAAGCUUGAUUGGGGAAAAUCCAAAUGGGGAAUCUCUUGCUUUCAUUUUUUUGCUAAUGCACUGUGCCUAAAUAUACUGGCAACCAUCCAAAGCUUUGUAAAUUCAGGCUUUUGCCUCAGCAGUUCAUACUCCCAAAGGAGCAGCUUAUCUCUUGAGCAGUGGGAACUCUUGACAUCAAACAAAGCUUCAGUUCUGCAUGUGGUUCUUCCCUGUCCACAUACAUCAUUUUGUGUGGAUUUCAGCUUUUGCACAUAAGCAAGCAAGGACUGUUUUUGUUGUUUUCACAUGAGGGACUAUACAUUACAGCAAAUCAUUUUAUUCCUGCACUCUCAUAAUUUCAAAUUAUGUUCCUUAAAAAAAAUAAUUCUUGUGAAUUUAGAAAAGUAAAUAUUCAAAUAUGGAAAUAAAAGGCCCACUAUGCACAAGGAGUGCCCUUCAAGUUUCUCUGGAUUGUGCCUGAUUCAGUGAGGGAACUGCCAUGUACAGGGUUAUGAUCAGAGUAUAAGCCCUGGAAUCACAUAUUUCAGUUUUACAUAAACUGUAAAUGACACACCUUCUGGCGGGAAUCACUAGCACAAGCGAACAAAACUCAAAAAUCUAUAUAACACAAGAUUAGUUUUUAUUAUUUUCUUAAACAGCAAAAUAAAAGAUACAAUUACUUUUACUGAACUAAGACAAAUUGUCAUUGAAUGAGAUUAAACAACACUGAGUAACUUA